UGAUGAUGUCAUCGUCGCCGCAGCCCCGUGACAAUGUCGAUGCCGUCGUCAUCGUUGCCGCCGCAACUUCCUGUCCACGUGUUCCCUACUAAGAACUCACAAAUCCUGGAAUUAAACAAUGAACCAAGACCACUACUAGGAACUCACAAAGAACCUGUAGCAUUAGUACAGUAUAACAAUAACCUAUAGAUCACUAAGUAAUAAUAGCAGAAACAAAAGCAUAUAGCAGCAACAUAGUAUAUAUAUAUGAAUUAUAAGUAGUACCAAACAGAUCAAUCCUAGAAAUUGGGGAAAGCCCAACUUAAGAAGGAUACAAUGUUAGGCAUGACCACGAGUGAAAUGAGAUUUAAACAACUUUGCUUUCCACCGGCCAGAAGCUAGAUCCACAUCAACCAUUCUCAGCUUCACUGUCGGCGUUUCAAUCCACUAGAUGACCCGUUGCCGAUGGAAUCAGCUCUGAGGAUAAAUAAACAACCACAUUUACAAGUGUGUACUUUAGGUACCUGUCGGCAACGACAUUGAUCACCUGGUCUCUGCAGAACACAUCCAACUCUUCCUGCGAUCCUGCAACACGUGGCCACCCCAAGCCUGAAAUCCUCGAUGCUCCAUCCAACCUCUGAGUGGCAACAAGGCGAAACCAAGAUCGAUGUCAUGAUGAAGCUUUCCAAAAAAAUGUGUUUCUAUGCACUAAGUGUGCCGAACCGCUAAGGAAAAAACACAUGCCUCAUAAAGUUCCCCUCUGUCGGAUUUCAGGUUCUGGCAGAUCCUUGAGGUUCGAACAUUGGGGUGCGUGCGGAGAUUUCGCCUCCUACCUACUUGCACCCCUCCGCCUCGCUAAGAUCUAAGCUAUGGAAAGAACAGCACAAGAAACACGGGAUUUAUACUGGUUCGGGCCACCGUAGUGGUGUAAUACCCUACUCCAGUGUGUGGUGUGGUGGAUUGCCUCUUGGGCUGAUGAUGAUGAGCAAUACAAGGAAGAACAGCCUCGCGAGGGUCUGUUCUUGGCUGGGGGGACGAACUGCUAGGAGGAGUUCAGUCACCUUUCUCUCUCUCUGAUUCGAUCCUUGAUCCUCGAUACUCGAUCUCUCACCUCCCUCUCUGAUUCGAUCUCUCUCUCCUUCUCUGAUUCUAUCUCUCUCUCUUCCUACCAUGUGGGUGGCUGGUCCUAUUUAUAGGCAAUGGCCCUGGGCCUCUUCCCAAAUAUUGAGCGGGAAGGGCGCCAACAAUUGGCCAUUUUGAAGGGGAACAUCUGGUACACUUAUCCUGACUAAAGUUGGUCCUCGCCUGCACAAAGCUCUGGUGGUGAUGCCGUCUUGGGCUCCACGAUGACCUUCGUCUUGCAGUCCUCCUGGUCUUGGUCUUGUUGCACCGAAAUGGCAACCUUUGCCUGAUGCCUCGGUACUCCGCGGCUGCGCUUGCCCCCUUUGCACCAAAGGGGAAAGGAGGACACUGCACGGGCUGGCGCCCGCCAGGCGCCCUUGGUCGUCAUGGCUUGCGUCACGGGCACCUCGUGAGGUACCCUGCCUUGAUCUCUCCGCCUCCUCACAAGCCAGCCUGGUGAGGCCGUGCCUAAGGAAGCUCCGCGUCGUCCGCCCCGCGAGGCUGGGCACCUCGCGAGGGUCUUGGGUCUGUGUUGAUGAAGAUGGGCCGUGCUGGGCCCCCCCUUGAGCCAUGCCGCAGGCCGCAGGCAGGCAAGUCUGGGGACCCCCGUUCCCAGAACACCGACAGUAGCCCCCGGGCCCAAGGCGCGCCCGGACUUGGCCGUGCAGGGAGGCGGAAGGGCAAGAGCGAAGCGCCGUGGGCCCUAACAGCCUGCGGUCUUGGGCGCCGCGUGGCGGUUGAUUGGACGUGGGCGUCUCCACUUCCCCAUGGCGCCUCGGCAACUGCACGGAUUGGACAAGUCCCUGCAUGCAAAGCGGGUCAUGAUUACCUGCGAUCGUGGAGGUCGGCGGUUGGCCUUCGCCGGCCAUAAGUACGGAACGGCGCGCGCCCUUCUAGUCCAUCCCUUCUUGCUUCUCCUUCUUCCCGGUCCUUGCUCCGUCUUGCUGUGAUGGCUCCGAUCCGCCGGUUCUCGACGGCAGAGAAGGGAAAGGCUCCCCGAGAGGAACCAGACCCGCUCCCGCCGAAGAAACGACUCGUCCUCCACGAACCGGACGAGGGGGCCCAUCAGGUGGUGUCGAGGCCCUGGGGCCAGCGGCCACCGCCGGGGUUCCCGCUUCCUUUGUACGCCCACAACGAGGGCCCUGAAGGAGCUGAUGCUGAUCGCCACAGGCGGCGCUGCCGUCGGCGCCGACGGGUCACGAAGGUGUGGGUCGUCCCCCCUGGGGUCCACACCGAGGGCUCCUCCCGAGAGUUCAUGUUCCACGCCGCCAUGCCUCCUCAGUCUUGGAUUCGCCUUCCUCCCUUCUUCGCCUCCAUCAUCCCGCAGGGAGAACUCCUAGAGCUUUGGCUGCAGCACGCUAGUUGCAGCACCCUCGCGACCGAGGCAGAGGUCACGGUCGUUGCCCCGGGCGAGGUCUUCAUGACUCGAGGCUGGAGCGAAGUCGCCCGGGUUUGCAGGACAAGAGGCGCCUUCACGAUCCACUUGGAGUACGACGGUGCUUCGGUGAUGUUCUUCAAGGUCUUCGAUGCGAACGGGCGCCGGCUGGAGUGUUGCCCUGGGAGAGGUGGUCGGGACCCUGCUGCGGCGAGGACUGGGCCCGCCGACCGCUCCCAUGGCGGCUCCUCAAGCGGCGGAGGCGUCGGAGGUUCCAGCGACUCCGGCGAGCUCUUCGCGACUCCGGAGACGAGCGACGACAGCUACGAGCCCCCGAGCCGGCGCCGCUCCUGGAGCAGGGCGGGCUCGUCAGGCCGUCGCCGCCCCUGAUCUGGAUGGGGUUGGCGCCGGUGCUUGACGGCCCACUGUUGAUGAUGGCGUCUUUUGCAGGGGCGCGCGUAGUUAGCGUCCUUUUAGGAUCUAUUCCCUGCGAGGAAUCAAAGACGCGUCCUGUGGGGGCUUGUAAGGUGCUUGUGAUCAUGUUUUGUUAAUAUAACCCUUGUCGUAGAAUUGUGCGAGUUGCUCAUUCCGUCUUAGCUCAGUUCUCCCUUUCGAACCUCACGAGGGCUUGGUGCUCUGCGCCGACAGGUCCCAGUCCCAAGGCGGCUUCAGCCGUUGCUGGUAUGCCAGGUCGCGAUGCCGUGGUCAAGGCCAGGAGGUGAGCGACCCGGAGUCCGGUAAGAGCCCCUGAGUCGCGAUGCUCAAGAGGUCCCAUUUGGCGCUCAAGCAGCCGUCGUUCGGUGAGAAAGGAGAGCGGCGUCGCUAACACGGGAUUGCAUUAGGUGCGGGGAUGGUGCCACGAUAGCUGGUGCUUCCGGGUGGUGACUUAUCUCGAGAAUCAGGGGUCGCUCUCUGGUGUGUCGCCGGGUCCGUGCAUCGGCAGGCGUGAGGUUGCUUGGCGAGGUCCUCGCGUGUCCCUCCCCUCUCACCUUUGCUCCCCUUUCUACUCUACAUCCUCGGGUCCCGGCCCUCGAGCGAGUCUCAGCCGUCGCUGGUAUGCCAGGUCGCGAUGCCGUGGACAAGGCCAGAGGGUGAGGGCUGGAGAGCCAGUAGGAGCCCUGAGUCGCGAUGCUCAGGCACCCCCCCCUUUAACAUGCAAGCGGUUCGUGCGGAUGAGAGUGAAGGAGACACCGCAAGGGCCUCGCCUGACGCGGCUCCUUUAGGAGAUCCUGUAAACCCAUCAUAGAAAGAACAAGGGGUUGCCAUGAUAAUUGACAGUCAGCCGGUGGUUGCUUCCGAGGGGCGAUGAGGCACUGAAGGCUUGAUGAGGUGGCGCCAUGCAGGGCUGCCGCGGCCAGAGCUCAGCCAUUCAGGUUUGUCGGUGUUGCAGGGACGGACCCAUGCGCAAGCGUCGUGCCGUUUGGGAGCAGUUCCGUCAGUUGGCGUCAGUUGAGCGGGCAACUAGGUCAAACACAUUAGCCGCGAAGGAGUGGAUUCAUUCAAAUAGAUGCUGGGAAGGCGGACAUCACUGGGUCAGGCCCGAGCGACUUGGGGAUGAUGCAGCCCAUGGGGCGCCCCCAACAAAGUAAGCUAACAACAUGAAAUAAAAGGGAUACAUGCCGCAGGGACGGACCCACGCGGCCUGGGAAUAAUGCAGCCCUGGGGGGCGCUCCCAGCUGGAAAUGAAACUUGAAAGAUGUCACCUGAUGAUGUUGAGGAUGAAGGAGUGUUGGUGUAGCAGACUCGGUGGGCCGCGGAAGCCGAUCCUCACGAGCCCCCAGGCCCAGGGGCCUCGGGAGGCUCCGGAGGCGCUGGUGGCUCCUCGCGGACCAUCUCCAUCUCCGCCAGGGCUACGAAACGCCUGGCCUCUUGAGCCUCCAUGAUACCCCUCAUGAGGCGCUGGUACGUGGCAGCCGCGUUCGGCAAGCCGUAAGUCAUGCGAACGUAGCUGUGGGGUGGACCUCCACAGCGCCCCACUCGCGAGGGCCAGAGGCGCUCCAGAGAGGCGACUCGAUUGAGCCCUGGUAUGUCGAUGCAGACGCGCAGCCCACCAUCCUCGCCUGGAUGGGGAGCCACUGCUGGUAGGCGGCCGCCUUUCAUAACUCUUGACUCCUAUAGCUCCUGAAUGGCCUUGCCGACGAACUCCUGAGGGUCUGGCUCUCCUUGCCUUACUCCUUCUUGAGGGAAACGUGCUUCGAAACACGCCUCCAUGUGGUGCCCAAGCGCCUCCCUCGUGACCCUAGCUAGGUCGGUGGCCCUCCAGGGGAGAGCCCCUGAGCCCUGCCUGAGGAGGGCGCCGGGCGUGCUUUCCUAUGAGAUGGAAGGAGGUUCCCCUGGGCAGGCGCGGGCCCAGAGGGGCCUGCCUCCUGAGGGGCCAGGCCGGACGAUGUCUUCUUCUUCUUGGGGGCGGCCUCGGGAAGCCUCCUGCUUCCGCGAUCCGGAUCUUCCAGUGACGCGGCCUGAAAGGCUCGUUCCAGGGAACACACCGCGUCCUUCUCUUCACAGGGCACCGUGAUGACUCCGCCACUUCCUGGCAUCUUGAGGAUGUUGUAGCCGUGGUGAGUUACGGCCAUGAACAUGGCCAGCGCUGGGUACCCAAGGAUGGCGUUGUACGGCAGGCGAAUGUGAGCGACGCCGAAGUCGAUGAGCUCGGUGCGGUAGUUGUCGCGUGCCCCGAAGGUGACAGGGAGGCGGACCUGCCCAAUCGGGACCGUGGAGCCGUCGGUGACUCCGGAGAAAGGCUUGGUUGGCUGAAGCUGGCUGUAGGGCACUUGGAGAUUGUUGAAUGUUUCCACAGACAGGACGUUGAGCCCUGCCCAGCCAUCGAUGAGGGUCCUGGUGACCACCACGUUGCUGAUGAUUGGGGAACAAAGCAUCGGGAGGACUCUGGCUGUAGCCGCACACUUGAGCUGAUCUGCUGAGCUGAACAUAAUGGCGCACGCCGACCACCUGAGAGGGCGCGUGGCUUCGAGCUUGGGGAGGACUGUAUUCACUUCGCGGGCGAACUGCUUGAAGAUGCGUUGAGAGGCUGGGGCUUGAGCCCCGCCCAGGAUGCAGGUGAUCACGCACGGCUCCUGGAAUCCCCCAGCCCCCUUGUCUUGGUGGCGGUCCUCGUUUCUCCUUGGUUGCGGUGGCAGCGGAGGGAGGCCUGCGUUGCCUUGCGGGCGAUCCUCGCGAGACUGAUCCCUCCAGUCUCCCUCGCAAGGCGGAUCUUGCCAGCGAUCCUCGCGAGGUUGAUCGCGCCACCCUUGGCGCAGGCCACGGUCUUCCCAGCGUCCUGUGUUCCUUCCUCCUCCUCGACCGUAGCCCCGGUCACCGCGGUCGGGACGACGGCCGAUCCUUCCUUCUCGCAUGGCUCGGAGCUCUUGACAUUCAUUGGUGUUGUGGGUGUGGAGGUCGUGGUACACACAGUACCGACUGCCCUUGGAAGGUUCGGGCUGAUCUCUGCCCCGCUUGGUGUCUGGUUCUGCCGCGAGCACGGCAGCCCCCUUGCGCUUCACAUCCUUGGCCUUGGGCUUCUUCUCUUCUGGGUCUGCGGCAGGCAGCUCGAGGAGGGAGAGACGCCUUUCCUCAGCCCUGGCGCACUUGGUUGCCAAGUUGAACAGCUCCAAGGAAGUGCACAGGUCUUCAUGCAUCGCCAGCUCCUCCUUCAUCUUGACAUCACGCAUGCCGUCGGAGAAGGCUGAGAUGAUGGCCUCCUCAGUCACCUUGGGAAUGUUGAGGCGUGCGUUGUUGAAGCGCUGGAUGUACUUCUGCAGGGUCUCCCCGGGUUGUUGCUUGAUGCGGCGCAUGUCGCUCACAGCGGGUGGCCGGUCGCGAGUACCUUGGAAGUUGGCGAUGAAGCGGGUGCGCAUCUCGUCCCAGGAGGAGAUCGUGCCUGGAGCCAGGUUCAGGAGCCAGGUGCGGGCCCCGUCCUUGAGCGCCAUGGGAAACCAGUUCGCCAUGACCUUCUCGUCUCCGUUGGCAGCUUCGAUGCCCAGCUCAUAGAGCUGGAGGAACUCCGCAGGGUCGGCCGUGCCGUCGUAACGAGGAGGCAGGUCUGGCUUGAACUUGCCGGGCCACGCGACGCUGUGUAGCUCGGUGGUGAAGGCACGGCAACCUGAUGUGGCCACGGGAGGCCUUGGGUGGCGGAGAGCUUGGUCUUGCAUGUCCCCACGCACUGCAGCUGGGAGCGGCACGGGGUCUUGAUGUGCAGGAGCAGGAGCAUGGUCGCGACGUGCUGGAGCAGGGAGCGCCCGGGCAGCUUCUUGCGGGCGAGGGACUUCUUGGCAGCUCUGCUCUUGCCGCGCUGGCACCUGACAGAACGGGUUCCGCCCAGGGGCCACGCGCCUUGGAGCCAUGGCGCCUUCUUGAGGAGGAGGCGGCCAGGGCGCCGCCGGAGCCUCGUUGCCCGCGCGGGGCAGGGUGCGGUGCAGCGGAAUGGACGGCGCAGGAGAGCCCCCUGCGGAGCGGGCGAGCUCGGCGACGCGGUCGAGCCAUUCUUCAUAGACGUCGUCGAUGGGACGGUAGCACAGGAGCUCGUUUGCCGUGAUGAGUGCAGCUCGAGCCUCCAUGGGUGCGCGGAGCGCGCAGGACGAAGAACCAGCUGGGGUGAGCGAGGGAGUAGCGGUGCAGCUGUCUUGCCGCACGGACGGAUGCUGAGACGAUGCUUGCUGCUCGUCCCCCGCCGGGCCGGUGGCGGCGUUGACGGCAGGUGACGGGGAACGGCGAGGACGCCCGCCGACAGGAGCUGUCUGGGCGACGCGGGAAGCGAGAGCGGCCCAGCGCUCGGCGCGGGCCCGACGAGCAUCAGACAUGGACGCGAUGGUCGGAGGAGAACGGGGUUGUGGAAGACGAAUUUCGGCGCACCCCUACCUGGCGCGCCAAAUGUCGGAUUUCGGGUUCCGGCAGAACCUUGAGGUUCGAACACUGGGGUGCGCGCGGAGAUUUCGCCUCCUACCUACCUGCACCCCUCCGCCUCGCUAAGAUCUAAGCUAUGGAAAGAACAACACAAGAAACACAGGAUUUAUACUGGUUCGGACCACCGUUGUGGUGUAAUACCCUACUCCAGUGUGUGGUGUGGUGGAUUGCCUCUUGGGCUGAUGAUGAUGAGCAAUACAAGGAAGAACAGCCUCGCGAGGGUCUGUUCUUGGCUGGGGGGACGAACUGCUAGGAGGAGUUCAGUCACCCUUCUCUCUCUCUGAUUCGAUCCUUGAUCCUCGAUACUCGAUCUCUCACCUCCCUCUCUGAUUCGAUCUCUCUCUCCUUCUUUGAUUCUAUCUCUCUCUCCCUACCAUGUGGGUGGCUGGUCCUAUUUAUAGGCAAUGGCCCUGGGCCUCUUCCCAAAUAUUGAGCGGGAAGGGCGCCAACAAUUGGCCAUUUUGAAGGGGAACAUCUGGUACACUUAUCCUGACUAAAGUUGGUCCUCGCUUGGACAAAGUUCUGGUGGUGACGCCAUCUUGGGCUCCACGAUGACCUCCGUCUUGCAGUCUUUGAUAGUGUCCUGGACUAGGGGGUACUCACCAUGUCGUCUCCUGAUCUAUUAGAUUGGGCCGAGGACCCCCGUGGUCGUAUACUUAUGGGCCAGUUCAGACAGCUGCCACAUAUAAGGAAGAUUCCACAAGACUUGGCAAUCAAGGCAAGGACUCCACCCUACCGGCGUAUUCGGCUAGGACUCUUGUUAUCCUAGGCCUCUGGUGCAUUAUAUAAACCGAGGCCAGGCUAGUCGAUAAAAAUAACUCCAUAUACAACAAUCAUACCAUAGGCUAGCUUCUAGGGUUUAGCCUCCUUGAUCUCGUGGUAGAUCUACGCUUGUACUACCCAUAUCAUCAAUAUUAAUCAAGCAGGAGUAGGGUAUUACCUCCAUCGAGAGGGCCCGAACCUGGGUAAAAACAUCGUGUCCCUUGUCUCCUGUUACCAUCCGGCCUAGACGCAUAGUUCGGGACCCCCUACCCGAGAUCCGCCGGUUUUGACACCGACAUUGGUGCUUUCAUUGAGAGUUCCGUUGUGUGAUCGACAAAAGGAUCGAUGGCUUGCCUGCAGAUCAACUGCGACUUCGGCAUCUUCGUCACCAGCUCGACUGGUCACCUUGGUUCGACCAAGAAUUGCGCCCCGUGUUCGGAUCACCAUGUCCGGACGAGGGCCUUCAUCAAACAUCAACUCCGAUCUCUAUCAAGAUCACGAAGGAAUCAUCUAUGGAGCUCGGGGGCUCAACGUCAACAUUGCCCUUAAGCGACCGUGCUGUUUUUCUGGACAGCGAACUCGUAUCUGCCACCACCACCUCCUCGAGUAUCGCUUUCACGAUCGCUCUGGUGGAAUUAUGCGGAAUUGAGUCUACAACAACCCUGGAAAAUUUCGUCGAGUUCCGAUGGAGGAAUCUCUGGCAAUCCACGAUAUACCGGAGCCCUGUCAAAUCUGGACGGGAAUUUGGAUGAGUUUAGGGCGUGGUGUCCAGAUUCUAGCUCGGACGUCCUUUGGAAGAUCCAACCGUUGAUCGGCUGCGGAAUUCCUAUAUCUACCUCCUCUCAAAAUUUUGGCUCGAUCCGACCGUCCAAACUCCGGGAACCUUCCGAUUAGUGCAUCACUUUUCGGAUCUGUUUUCUGCGCGAAAACGAAUCCAACCCGAGUUCAUCUUUUUUAUGAACAGGAUUUCAGACAUCCCUUCUGAAGGAAGUUUUGUAUGGGGUAUUGUGUUUUGUUCCCGAACACAUCCCACUAACUUUAAGAUCUUUUGAGCAUGAUCUUCAACAUCAUGCUGGUGUCAAACCAGUCUGGCAAUAUUACUCCACGACUGCCGACCUGCGCUAAGACACGGCGUCACUUUGUUGAGCCGAGCUUAACUUCUUCGGAUCAUCAUCUCGGCAAGCCGAACAAGAGUCCGGCAUCGCGAAGGAUAAAUCAUCACCAACAUCGCCGCCCCACGGAUUACACGGAGCGGGCAUACCAGCAUCGCCGCACGGUUGCUUCAUCAAGCCGGCAUCGACCACGUCACGACCUGCAGCGACAGGGCCGCACUAUCGCUUCUUCAAGCUGGUGUCCAUUACGCCGACCUACUUCGACUCAUCGGCUGACAUCGGGGCUUCGACAUCUCGGCUGGACCGGGGGCUUCGCCGUCUCUUCAUCAACCUACUCCGGACACUUCGGCGUCACUGGCCGACCAGCUCCGUCACGUUAGCUGGGCCGAGGGCUUUGCCUCGGUGAGCCAACCUUUAUCAGCAUUGCCAUGCCAUUGUUUUAUCGCCCAUCAGGCAAUGGGUGUGCCGAUCGAGUCCCAAUUUUGGGAAUCACCUUCCUUCGGAUUGCUACAACAAAUAAACCAAGUGCUAUCAAUCCCUAAUAUUUUUUGCUUGUUCGGGUUCAUUUUUCCCAAGAAAUUAUUACUCUGAUUUGUCCAUCAUAUGUACAUAGGUCUAUCAAAUGGUAGCCGCAUUCACGAUAGUCGCAUGGUGGUUCGGUCAAUUUCCGUACAUAGUCCGGCGAACGCCGCAUCCGGAGCUCGGACCGACCUGCGAAUUCAGGCUUUGCCACGCCUUUACCGCAUCACGCCGACGCCCUACAUCGACAUUGACUUCGGCGCCAGGCCAUAUUUCUUUUAUUACUCACUUUGCAUAAAUUAUUUAUUAUGCAACGAUUUUUUUUUAAAUUAUCAUUAUUACUACUAUCUCCGGUUUUGCACUAUUUUCUGUGCACAGGAAAAUGAUCCGGGGACUUUGGCGUCACUCUGCCGGUCUGCAUUGACCGUGCUAUGUCACCACUUCGGCAUGUCGAGCUCUCCGCGUCGCCACCUCGGGACCGGCUUGGGGGAUGGAACCUUGCCCCGCAUCAAGCUCGGACUGCGUCAUCAAUACCGAACACAUUAACCAGCUAAGUCGCUUUCAUGCUCAAAGCUUUAAUUUCUAACUUGUGUUCGGUUCGGCCAAGAACUAUACUUUUUGGAAAAAAGUUGCUUGUAAAAAAUUUCCUUGUCCAAACUUUGUUUGUGACGCAUAAAUUCAAAUACCCCGUUUACUUGGGGGCUUCCUUUAUGAAGCUUUUCCUCUUGCAUAUGAUUAUACUUGUACGGCUUCGUUCCUUGUUCAUGUAUUAUGCCACAAUAUGCAUCAUAUUGACUUAAGAGAUUUGCAAGCUGGGUUGCCUCGCUCCUGUGUUUACCCCUACGUUCCCGAUUGUUCGUCUAGGGAGUAAAGGGAGCACCUCUGCGAUUGUCACGAUCGGGUCACCCGAGCCAGACCUCAGACUGGGUGAAGCCGAAAGCUAGCGCUCUUAUAGUUAUUCAAUGAUGGUCGGCACACAACGGAACUCAUGAGUACAAAAAUCUAUUGCACAAGUCUCAUAAUAACAAUGAGCACCGAAGAAAGGUAUCAGUGGGGGUACUAUUUUCUUCGAAGAUGCUUCUUACACUUCACAGUAAUAUAGCAUAAGUUCCCUGAGCGCGCUUUGUCUGUUACAGCCUUAUGGCCUGAUUGCCUGGUUAUUGGAAACACCGUCGAUAUUCUCGACCGAUGGAGUACAUAAAACUUUUCGGUCCUUUACCGAAGAGGGAGAAGCUGACGGUCGGUUAAGACGCGUUUAAAGUUCGGUUGAACAUAGAUAUGAUAUAAGUACUUUGGUACAUGCAAUCAUUCUUCUACCCAAGUCACUUGGGGGCUCUUAAAAUUUCUAUGAGCUAUUUUAUAGUAAAUGUGUUUUCUUCUUGGUCGUUGCAAAGUCUUUUUCUAUCGCUCCUUUUUCGACGUGAGUGUGUGGUCAAUAGCCAGAUAACCCAUUUUCUCGCUAGCGACCGCUCGAGUUUAGUUCGCUAAACUGGUCUAAUGAGAAGCACUCCGCCUUCGAGAUAGGAGGCUGCAGCCGUAGGCUGGCCCGCUUGAAGUCUUGAGAUCGGAUGUGUAAUGUUAAAGCAUGACAGAAGCACUCUUUUUUUUCUAAGACCAAUUUUCGGAUUGGCACCGAACACUUGAUAUUGUUCGGACGUCAUGUUUUUACUGACGUUUCUUGGUUUUCCAAGCUUUUUGGCACUUUUAAACUAUUUGUGCUUUUCCAGCAUUAGUCUUGCAGUGCAACGCCGGACACCUUUAGGGGUUCGGCAAAGACAUUCUCAGAUAUUGCUAUAUAUGCAUCGGUUUCGAAUUGUGUCUUCGGUCAAUAGUUGGGUUGCCGGCUCCUGCACUUGCUUCCUACGUUUCGUUUUGUUUGGCUAGGCGUGCAAAGGGAGAACCACUGCGAUUGUGCUUCCAGCUCACAUGGUUAAGCACCUUAGUGGAGAAAGCCGAAAAUUGACUGUCACAAUAAGCGUAAACUGGUCAGCGAUCCGAUGACUAUGACAGGCCAUUCAUAACAUUGGCCGAAGUGUUUACGGCUUGACCUCGACUGUCGCCGAACACUACCGGGGGCUAUUAACUGGCCUCCCAAACUAAAUCCUCGAUAUUUUGCUCUUACAUUCGAGCUGAGGUUUCAUGAUCAUGCUUAGCAUGACAACCCAAAGAAAGGAACCGAUAGCGGGACUAUUUUCUUUGGAAUACAUUUCUUCUGUUAAACAGUAAUAUAACAUAUCUCUCUGCGUACCUUUGUUUAUAAAACCGUAUGGCCAGAUUGCCUUGUUUGUUGUAAAUAUUUGCCCUCAUAAAGGCUUUAUAAAGUAGGACAAACACUCCUCGGCUACUGGCCGAGGAGGUGGAAGCCGAUGGUCGGUCAACAAAGUUUUGUACAAUGCGGAUCCGAGCAUUAAUGACGUAAAGUACUUGGAUACAUAGAGUCAUUACACAUAAUUUGUGAUUUUACUAUGGAUAUUGAUCCUUAAUUCGGCCACCCGUGCCCGCAUUAAGGCUCGGGGGCUACUGGGCUUUGGGCUUAUUAUUUACAAAUAUUAAAGGGGCACAUCGAUCCCCUGAUCUGGUGUUGCCACCCAACCAGUGUCUCGGGGGCUACUGCAUUGCCUGUUCAAUGCAGAAAAUUUUAUGUGCAAUAUAAUUUCCGAGGAGAUUUUGAUCCUCAGGUUGGUCGGCCGCACCCAACCUGAUUCUCGAGGACUGAGCACGCCGCAUUUAGUGUCCCAAAGUAUUCUGCCGAGCUAGGACUUGAUCCUCAGGCCGAUUUUGCAAAUCAACCUGAGUCUCCGCGGCUGCUGGGAUCAGUGGUCUUACGUCAUCCUUCAGGUGCAUCUCUGGUUUUAGACCGAUACACACCUUGAGAGCUACUGGCUAUAUAUCUCGGCAAAGAAUAAAUUGCACCAAUAAAAAAUAUUGACAAAAAAUCGGCCCAUAGUCGGGGUGGUGCACCACCUCGGAAGCAGUCUGGCAUAAAGCUCGAGCGCUAGUGGCUGGCUCCAUAGAGGGCAUUUCCGGCAUUAAGCUCGGCUAAACUCCUUCAACUUUUUUGAACCAAGGUGAUAUGACACCUUGGAUAUAGUCCGGCAUUGGAGCCUGGACACAGUCCGGCGUUGGAUCUCGGAUAUAUUUCGGCGUUGGAGCUCGGAUAUAUUUCGGCGUUGGAGCUCAGAUACAUAGUCCGGCGUUGGAGCUCGGAUACAUUCCGGCGCUAGAGCUGGGAAGCGGUCCGGCGUUGGUGCUCGGCUGCAAAAGAUACCUCGAAUGCAGUCCGGCGUUGGAGCUCGGACGCAAGAGGACCCUGCCUCCCGGGAACAACUUCAAACCCGAGGUGUGGCAUAAAAAUAAACAAGGCAUUGAUAAAGGUCGGAAACUUAAAGGGACUCCUUGGAUACCCGACGUGUAAAGUCGUCGAAUGCAUUUCGGCGAUCCUCAAGAUCGAAGAUAGAGAAGAUUUGUUGAACCGGUUUUCAAGACCGAUGACCAAAGAUGAAGAACAGUUCGGAAGAAUCGAGGAGCGUCCCUAACUUGAAGACCGGUUCAGGGGGCUACUGACGGUGUCCUGGACUAGGGGGUACUCACCACGUCGUCUCCUGAUCUAUUAGAUUGGGCCGAGGACCCCCGUGGCCGUAUACUCAUGGGCCAGUUCGGACAGCUGCCGCAUACAAGGAAGAUUCCACAAGACUUGGCAAUCAAGGCAAGGACUCCACCUCACUGGCGUAUUUGGCUAGGACUCUUGUUAUCCUAGGCCUCUGGUGCAUUAUAUAAACCGAGGCCAGGCUAGUCGAUAAAAACAACUCCAUAUACAACAAUCAUACCAUAGGCUAGCUUCUAGGGUUUAGCCUCCUUGAUCUCGUGGUAGAUCUACUCUUGUACUACCCAUAUCAUCAAUAUUAAUCAAGCAGGAGUAGGGUAUUACCUCCAUCGAGAGGGCCCGAACCUGGGUAAAAACAUCGUGUCCCUUGUCUCCUGUUACCAUCCGGCCUAGACGCACAGUUCGGGACCCCCUACCCGAGAUCCGCCGGUUUUGACACCGACAGUCCUCCUGGUCUUGGUCUUGUUGCACCGAAAUGGCAACCUUUGCCUGAUACCUCGGUACUCCGCGGCUGCGCUUGCCCCCUUUGCACCAAAGGGGAAAGGAGGACACUGCGUGGGCUGGCGCCCGCCAGGCGCCCUUGGUCGUCAUGGCUUGCAUCACGGGCACCUCGUGAGGUACCCUGCCUUGAUCUCUCUGCCUCCUCGCGAGCCAGCCUGGUGAGGCCGUGCUUGAGGAAGCUCCGCGUGUCUGCCUCGCGAGGCUUGGCCCCUCGCGAGGGUCUUGGGCAUGUGUUGAUGAAGAUGGGCCAUGCUGGGCCCCCCCUUGAGCCACGCCGUAGGCCGCAGGCAGGCAAGUCUGGGGACCCCCGUUCCCAGAACGCCGACACCCUCUAAUUGUGAGAUUAUCAGAUUCACACAGGAAAGUUGCUUCGAACAUUAACUGAAAUAGAAUGUAUGAGUUCCAAAAGUUCCCCUCUAAUUGUUACACAUAUAAUUAUGUGCAGUCAAACUUGGCACUAAAAGCAAGAUAUUUUAUCGCUACCAAAUGCCUCAUAAAGUAGCACCAAGCUACAGAAUCAGUUUGCACCAAGCUAGAUUGUGUUCGAAUUUUAUAGGAAGGAUAGUUCGCUAGGCAGUAGGACACAACAUGCAAAGUAGCCAGGCUAAACAGACUUUAUGGGAGUAAACUAAAGUGAUCAAGUAGGUAAAUAUAAAAAAGUGAGCAGAUUGACCACUAUUAUGCUUAGAGUAAGAUUACUAAUUACUAAACAAGCACUACUACAAUACCAUGCUGAAUCUACAAUGAAUAUGGAUUCAACCUUAGGCAGUCCAACUCUUGGUUGUUGUUAUAAUGAACACUCUGCUACCCAGUCACCUCCAUUUUUACUGUUAUUAUUUAUCUCAUCAUUUAUAUGCCUAUGCAUGAACAAUAGUAGAAAGUAUUACUGAAAUUGAGCCAAUCUUUGAGAGGGUUGUUACCUUCACAUUGAUACCAAGGCUAUCCACAACCAGAAUAGAAGCAAAAUUCACCUGAAAUAACUUACAUAUGUCAUCCCUAAAUAUAUUUAAAUGGAAACAUUAACAUUUGUCUUUUUCUACAGUUAACAAAUAUCCUGAUACAACUCAAGAUGGUGUGAAGCAGCCAUAUAAUGGUUUUUCAUUGGAAAAAUACUAAGCUUCAAUGCUACUGCAUCCUUCUCUCCCAUAUACUUGCUCGAGGAUUUGGUGAAUUUAGCAUCUCACGAGAUUCAGCAAACUGCAGUUAUUACAGAAUACCAUUACAAUGCAACUAAAAGAACAAUGAUAGGCUGAUUGAAGAAUGAAUUGACUCAGGCCCAUGAUGCAUAUUUAUUGACAUUUGGCCUCAACUUAGCAGCAGUAGUGAGUAGUGGAAGAAGGGGAGGGAGAUGGAGAUACACCUGUCGUGGUGGGUCAUCAUGGCCAUGCUUGAGCUCGUGCAGGACCUCUUGGUCGCCCUAGG
rnacentral:lncRNA from 1 species